rnacentral:rRNA from 1 species
GAUGAACGCUGGCGGCGUGCCUAAUACAUGCAAGUCGAGCGAACAGACGAGGAGCUUGCUCCUCUGACGUUAGCGGCGGACGGGUGAGUAACACGUGGAUAACCUACCUAUAAGACUGGGAUAACUUCGGGAAACCGGAGCUAAUACCGGAUAAUAUAUUGAACCGCAUGGUUCAAUAGUGAAAGACGGUUUUGCUGUCACUUAUAGAUGGAUCCGCGCCGCAUUAGCUAGUUGGUAAGGUAACGGCUUACCAGGGCAACGAUGCGUAGCCGACCUGAGAGGGUGAUCGGCCACACGGGAACUGAGACACGGUCCAGACUCCUACGGGAGGCAGCAGUAGGGAAUCUUCCGCAAUGGGCGAAAGCCUGACGGAGCAACGCCGCGUGAGUGAUGAAGGUCUUCGGAUCGUAAAACUCUGUUAUUAGGGAAGAACAAAUGUGUAAGUAACUAUGCACGUCUUGACGGUACCUAAUCAGAAAGCCACGGCUAACUACGUG